rnacentral:rRNA from 1 species
UACGGAGGGUGCAAGCGUUUAUCCGGAUUCACUGGGUUUAAAGGGUGCGUAGGCGGGCAGGUAAGUCCGUGGUGAAAUCUCUGAGCUUAACUCAGAAACUGCCAUGGAUACUAUUUGUCUUGAAUGUUGUGGAGGUAAGCGGAAUAUGUCAUGUAGCGGUGAAAAUGCUUAGAUAUGACAUAGAACACCAAUUGCGAAAGGCAGCUUCUAACACAAAUAUUUGACGCUGAGGCACGAAAGCGUGGGGAUCAAACAGG